rnacentral:rRNA from 1 species
UACGUAGGGGGCAAGCGUUGUCCGGAUUUAUUGGGCGUAAAGAGCGUGUAGGCGGCCAGGUAGGUCUGCUGUGAAAACUCGAGGCUCAACCUCGAGAUGGCGGCGGAAACCACUUGGCUAGAGUCCGGAAGAGGAGAGUGGAAUUCCCGGUGUAGCGGUGAAAUGCGCAGAUAUCGGGAAGAACACCUAUGGCGAAGGCAGCUCUCUGGGACGGUACUGACGCUGAGACGCGAAAGCGUGGGGAGCGAACAGG